GAUAAACGCUGGCGGCGCACAUAAGACAUGCAAGUUGAACGGACUUAAUCGAAAUAUUUAUAUUUUGAAGCGGUUAGUGGCGGACUGGUGAGUAACGCGUAAGGAACCUGCCUAUUAGAGGGGAAUAACAGUGAGAAAUCAUUGCUAAUACCGCAUAUGCCAUAGAUAUCACAUGAUAACAGUGGGAAAGGAGCAAUCCGCUAAUAGAUGGCCUUGCGUCUGAUUAGAUAGUUGGUGGGGUAACGGCCUACCAAGUCGACGAUCAGUAGCCGGACUGAGAGGUUGAGCGGCCACAUUGGGACUGAGAUACGGCCCAGACUCCUACGGGAGGCAGCAGUCGGGAAUAUUGCGCAAUGGAGGAAACUCUGACGCAGUGACGCCGCGUAUAGGAAGAAGGUUUUCGGAUUGUAAACUAUUGUCGUUAGGGAAGAGAAAGGACAUUACCUAAGGAGGAAGCUCCGGCUAACUACGUG
rnacentral:rRNA from 1 species